GUCCCCAUAAGUAGUGGAAGUGCCCCGCCAUCCCCCUAAAAAACCCUGGGCCUGGCUGCUUGGCAGACAACCACAUUUCCCCUGCUGACACUUCAAUCCUGCCUGGAGUUUAUGUAGUGGCAGCACUGAUCCCUUUCACCCCACCAAAGAGGAACCUUGAUUUUCACUUGAGAACAAGGGCCCCCACAGCUACACAGCCUUGGUCCCCCCAGUAAUGGAUGGAAAAUCGGUGAUUUCCUGACAGUUAGCAACCAAUUUUCCACCAAUUAGAAGAGAGAUGGUGGUCUCUGGAGGAAGCUGGAUGGCUCCACUGCACAAAGCUGGGAGGAAGAGUGAUCCUAGAAGCACCAAGGGCCAAAACCUGGGGAG